rnacentral:rRNA from 1 species
UGCUAGCUUGCUAGCAGGCGUCGAGUGGCGGACGGGUGAGUAAUAUAUAGGGAUCUGCCUAAUAGUGGGGGACAACGUGUGGAAACGCACGCUAAUACCGCAUACGCUCUACGGAGGAAAGUGGGGGCUCUUCGGACCUCAUGCUAUUAGAUGAACCUAUAUCGGAUUAGCUUGUUGGUGAGGUAAUGGCUCACCAAGGCGACGAUCCGUAGCUGGUUUGAGAGAAUGAUCAGCCACACUGGGACUGAGACACGGCCCAGACUCCUACGGGAGGCAGCAGUGGGGAAUAUUGCACAAUGGACGAAAGUCUGAUGCAGCAAUGCCGCGUGUGUGAAGAAGGCCUUCGGGUUGUAAAGCACUUUCAGAUGUGAGGAAAAGCAGUCUAUUAAUACUAGAUUGCCGUGACGUUAACAUCAGAAGAAGGACCGGCUAACUCCGUGCCAGCAGCCGCGGUAAUACGGAGGGUCCAAGCGUUAAUCGGAAUUACUGGGCGUAAAGCGCGCGUAGGCGGAUAUUUAAGUCAGAUGUGAAAUCCCUGGGCUCAACCUAGGAACUGCAUUUGAAACUGGAUAUCUAGAGUAUGGUAGAGGUGAGUGGAAUUUCAGGUGUAGCGGUGAAAUGCGUAGAGAUCUGAAGGAACAUCAGUGGCGAANGCGACUCACUGGGCCAUUACUGACGCUGAG